AGCCCUGUGGUGUAGUGGCCAAUCAUGUAGCCUUCUGGGGGCUACGACGGAGGUUCGAAUCCUCCCAGGGCUA
rnacentral:tRNA from 1 species